rnacentral:rRNA from 1 species
UGUGGUCCAAUGAAUAUUGAGGCUCGUGGCGGAUAUCGUUAUUUUCUCACCUUCACAGACGACUUAAGUAGAUAUGGGUAUAUCUACUUAAUGAAACACAAGUCUGAAACAUUUGAAAAGUUCAAAGAAUUUCAGAGUGAAGUUGAAAAUCAUCGUAACAAGAAAAUAAAGUUUCUACGAUCUGAUCGUGGAGGAGAAUAUUUGAGUUACGAGUUUGGUGUACAUUUGAAACAAUGCGGAAUAGUUUCGCAACUCACGCCACCCGGAACACCACAGCGUAAUGGUAUGUCUGAACGUCGUAAUCAUACUUUACUAGAUAUGGUGCGAUCUAUGAUGUCUCUUACUGAUUUACCGCUAUCGUUUUGGGGUUAUGCUUUAGAGACGGCCGCAUUCACGUUAAAUAGGGCACCAUCAAAAUCCAUUGAGACGACGCCUUAU